AACGUACGCUGGCGGCACGCCUAACACAUGCAAGUCGAACGAAGUAGCAAUACUUAGUGGCAGACGGGUGAGUAACAUGUAGGUAUCUGCCCUUUGGCCUGGAAUAACACGAGGAAACUUGUGCUAAUACCGGAUAAGUCUUUACGGAGAAAGCUUUAUGCACCAUUGGAUGAGCCUGCACUUGAUUAGUUUGUUGGUGGGGUAAUGGCCUACCAAGACUGUGAUCAAUAGCUGAUUUGAGAGGAUGAUCAGCCACAUUGGGACUGAGACACGGCCCAAACUCCUACGGGAGGCAGCAGUGGGGAAUCUUGCACAAUGGAGGAAACUCUGAUGCAGCGAUGCCGCGUGAGUGAAGAAGGCCCUUGGGUUGUAAAGCUCUUUCGUCGGGGAAGAAAAUGACUGUACCCGAAUAAGAAGGUCCGGCUAACUUCGUGCCAGCAGCCGCGGUAAUACGAAGGGACCUAGCGUAGUUCGGAAUUACUGGGCUUAAAGAGUUCGUAGGUGGUUGAAAAAGUUAGUGGUGAAAUCCCAGAGCUUAACUCUGGAACUGCCAUUAAAACUUUUCAGCUAGAGUAUGAUAGAGGAAAGCAGAAUUUCUAGUGUAGAGGUGAAAUUCGUAGAUAUUAGAAAGAAUACCAAUUGCGAAGGCAGCUUUCUGGAUCAUUACUGACACUGAGGAACGAAAGCAUGGGUAGCGAAGAGGAUUAGAUACCCUCGUAGUCCAUGCCGUAAACGAUGUGUGUUAGACGUUGGAAAUUUAUUUUCAGUGUCGCAGGGAAACCGAUAAACACACCGCCUGGGGAGUACGACCGCAAGGUUAAAACUCAAAAUGAAUUGACGGGGACCCGCACAAAGUAGUGGAGCAUGUGGUUUAAUUCGAAGAUACGCGCAGAACCCUUACCAACACUUGACAUGUUUCGUCGCGACUCUAAGAGAUUAGAGUUUUCGGUUUCGGCCGGACGAAAACAACAGGUGCUGCAUGGCUGUCGUCAGCUCGUGUCGUGAGAUGUUGGGUUAAGUCCCGCAACGAGCGCAACCCUCACUUUUAGUUGCCAUCAUUAAGUUGGGCGACUCUGAAAGAAACUGCCAGUGAUAAGCUGGAGGAAGGUGGGGAUGACGUCGAAGCCCUCGAUGGCCCUUACGUGUUGGGCUACGCGACGUGCUACAAUGGUAUCUACGAACGGGAAGCGAGAACUGCGAAGUUAAGCAAACCCCUAAAAGAUACUCUCAGUUUCGGAUUGCACUCUGCAACUCGAGUGCAUGAAAGCUGGAAUUACUAGUAAUCGUGGAAUCAGCGUGCCACGGUGAAUGCGUUUCCCGGGUCU
rnacentral:rRNA from 1 species